rnacentral:rRNA from 1 species
UACGUAGGGGGCAAGCGUUGUCCGGAUUCAUUGGGCGUAAAGAGCGUGUAGGCGGCCAGGUAGGUCGGUUGUGAAAACUGGAGGCUCAACCUUCAGAGGUCGACCGAAACCAUCUGGCUAGAGUCCGGGAGAGGAAAGUGGAAUUCCUGGUGUAGCGGUGAAAUGCGCAGAUAUCAGGAAGAACACCAAUGGCGAAAGCAGCUUUCUGGGACGGUACUGACGCUGAGACGCGAAAGCGUGGGGAGCGAACAGG